rnacentral:rRNA from 1 species
UAGCGGCGGACGGGUGAGUAACACGUGGAUAACCUACCUAUAAGACUGGGAUAACUUCGGGAAACCGGAGCUAAUACCGGAUAAUAUUUUGAACCGCAUGGUUCAAAAGUGAAAGACGGUCUUGCUGUCACUUAUAGAUGGAUCCGCGCUGCAUUAGCUAGUUGGUAAGGUAACGGCUUACCAAGGCAACGAUGCAUAGCCGACCUGAGAGGGUGAUCGGCCACACUGGAACUGAGACACGGUCCAGACUCCUACGGGAGGCAGCAGUAGGGAAUCUUCCGCAAUGGGCGAAAGCCUGACGGAGCAACGCCGCGUGAGUGAUGAAGGUCUUCGGAUCGUAAAACUCUGUUAUUAGGGAAGAACAUAUGUGUAAGUAACUGUGCACAUCUUGACGGUACCUAAUCAGAAAGCCACGGCUAACUACGUGCCAGCAGCCGCGGUAAUACGUAGGUGGCAAGCGUUAUCCGGAAUUAUUGGGCGUAAAGCGCGCGUAGGCGGUUUUUUAAGUCUGAUGUGAAAGCCCACGGCUCAACCGUGGAGGGUCAUUGGAAACUGGAAAACUUGAGUGCAGAAGAGGAAAGUGGAAUUCCAUGUGUAGCGGUGAAAUGCGCAGAGAUAUGGAGGAACACCAGUGGCGAAGGCGACUUUCUGGUCUGUAACUGACGCUGAUGUGCGAAAGCGUGGGGAUCAAACAGGAUUAGAUACCCUGGUAGUCCACGCCGUAAACGAUGAGUGCUAAGUGUUAGGGGGUUUCCGCCCCUUAGUGCUGCAGCUAACGCAUUAAGCACUCCGCCUGGGGAGUACGACCGCAAGGUUGAAACUCAAAGGAAUUGACGGGGACCCGCACAAGCGGUGGAGCAUGUGGUUUAAUUCGAAGCAACGCGAAGAACCUUACCAAAUCUUGACAUCCUUUGACAACUCUAGAGAUAGAGCCUUCCCCUUCGGGGGACAAAGUGACAGGUGGUGCAUGGUUGUCGUCAGCUCGUGUCGUGAGAUGUUGGGUUAAGUCCCGCAACGAGCGCAACCCUUAAGCUUAGUUGCCAUCAUUAAGUUGGGCA